GCCGUCUUUCCCCUCUCUCUCCCUCUCUCUCUCUCUCUCUUCUCUCUGAUGAUCAUCUGUCCUCCGACGAGGCACUGCGGUUGAACAGGGACGAUUCGACUCUCUCUCUUCGGCUCGAAUGGCUCAGAUGCCGAACCUGGACAAUGCUCCUAUCAAUCUCGCGUCAAUCAGGGAUCAGUCGCAGAAGGAGCUCAUAACCAUCCUGAAAAACAUCCGGGGGAGGAAGUGUUUGGUUGUCGAUCAGAAGCUCAGUGGCUCGCUAUCUCUAAUCAUCCAAACUUCACUUCUCAAGGAGCAUGGCGUGGAGUUGAGGCAUCUUUCCGCUGAACCAAUUCAAACUGAAUGUACCAAAAUUGUUUACCUCGUUCGGGCUCAACUUGAUCUUUUGAAAUUUAUAUGCUCGCACAUUCACAACGAUCAAUCGAAAGGGUUUCAGAGGGAGUACUAUGUUUAUUUUGUUCCUCGCCGAGCUGUAGCUUGUGAGAAGAUUUUUGAGGAGGAAAAAGUUCAUCAGUUGUUGACCAUUGGGGACUACCCGUUAUACCUCAUUCCUUUGGACGAGGAUAUCCUAUCAUUCGAACUGGACCUUGCUUAUAAAGAGAGCCUAGUCGAUGGUGAUACAAGCUCACUCUGGCAUAUUGCGAAAGCCAUUCACAAGCUUGAGUUUGCUUUCGGGGUGAUACCGAAUGUCAGAGCUAAGGGCAAAGCCUCAGUUCGAGUCGCAGACAUACUUAAUCGGAUGCAAGCAGAGGAACCAGUCAAUUCAUCUGAUAUUGUGGUGCCGGAGAUAAAUACUCUUAUUCUUCUUGAUAGGGAGGUUGACAUGGUUACUCCCAUGUGUUCUCAGUUAACCUAUGAAGGACUGUUGGACGAGUUUUUACAUGUGAACAAUGGUUCAGUGGAGCUUGAUGCCUCCAUCAUGGGUGUUCAACAAGAGGGCAAAAAAAUGAAAGUUCCACUUAAUUCUAGUGACAAGCUUUACAAGGAGAUACGAGAUCUCAACUUCGAAGUUGUUGUCCAGGUUUUACGUCAAAAAGCAACAUCAAUGAAGCAAGAUUAUACGGAGAUGACAACUACCACUCAGACAGUUUCAGAGUUGAAGGAUUUUGUAAAGAAGCUCAAUUCGCUACCUGAAAUGACUAGGCACAUAAAUCUCGCUCAGCAUUUAUCAUCUUUCACAUCUAAGCCAUCAUUUCUUGCACGACUUGACAUGGAACACACAAUGGUUGAGGCUCAGAGUUAUGACAUUUGCUUUGAGUACAUUGAAGAAAUGAUCCAUAAGCAGGAACCUCUUAUCGACAUCCUGCGAAUGCUCAUAUUGUUAUCCAUUACAAAUGGGGGGCUGCCGAAGAAGCAUUUUGAUUAUUUAAGGAGGGAGCUACUUCAUAGCUAUGGUUUUGAGCACAUGGCUACACUGAACAAUUUGGAAAAAGCUGGACUGCUGAAAAAGCAGGAGUCAAAGAGCAAUUGGCUGGCAAUAAAACGCGCUCUGCAUCUCGUAGUUGAAGAUACUGACACAGCCAAUCCCAAUGAUAUUGCCUAUGUAUUUUCUGGAUAUGCGCCGCUUAGCGUUCGGCUUGUUCAGAAUGCUAUUCGAUCUGGUUGGCGUCCCAUUGAAGAGAUCUUAAGAAUGCUACCAGGACCCCAUUCAGAAUCAAAGAGAAGUAGGUUUGCAAGCAGUCAAUCAUAUGAUUCGAUGCAAGAUGCUUCGGUUGACAAAGCGACUGGAGGAAGACGCUCCUUGGUACUUGUUGUUUUCGUGGGAGGAGUAACAUUCGCUGAGAUUUCUGCUCUACGAUUCCUCAGUGCUCAGUCUGUAAUCGCUGGCUGUUAGUGGGUCAAAUUGGUGUUCUUGAAGCUGCUAGUUGUAAAACUUGAAGCAGAGUCUAAUGCACGAAAGAGGAGGGGAUGGCAUAUGAUAUAAUCGUGGGCACUACAAAACUAGUCAGCGGUCAAACCCUGACCGAAACAUUUGUCCAGAGCAUGGGUUGACUGAUGAUUCUUUUCUCCGCUGAUGUCCAGUCAUGCUCUCGAGUAGAGUUUUGCGAUUUUGUAUUGUGCAGGUGAUACGAGAUUUCAUGAUUGAGCGGUUUUCGAGAUCAUGUAAUUUAUUUUCUGCCCCCUCAGCUUUCAUCUUGAUUAUGUGAGGAGAAAAGAAUGUUAACCUCCUCUUCAAAGAAACUGGACCGCUAAAGUCGUCGCAACUGAGAACUCCACAUGCUAAUAUGAGUGGAGGCGAGAAGGCUCGGGCGGAGAAACAAUAGGGUGCUACUCUGAUCUUUUGGAUGUGAUUUAAUCGCCAUUGUAAAGACCAAGUAGAUGCCACGAUUCUUUGCUUUA